CAUUGUAUUACCCAUUGAGACAUUUGAUAUUGGUACAGUACAGAGAGCGAUUUGCUUGUCUUAUAAGCUAUUAUAUCUUUCGAGUUGAAGAUGGAAGGGGGCUUGGCAUCGUUUUUUCCCUGAUAUCCUGGAUCCUCUGCAACUUUAUGGGAUUUAUGGAAUUCGGCUAUAACAACCAGAAGGCAAACAUCAUCCAAAACUACUGCAAUGCAGAGAAGCCCUGGUUUUGAAAAAAAAAAUUGCCAGCCCACUUCAAGAUGAUAUUGAAGCAAAGAGAGCCCCCUUCCUUCCUUCCUUCCUUUCUUCCUUCCUUCCUUUCUUCCUAAAAAAAACAGUCGGAUUUUGACAAUGGCUUAACUGUGAAGUGAUUCAAAAACACUAAGUAAACAUAAAAUGCUUGUCACAAAAACAGACCUUUAACGUGUAGCUGCCAUACUCAUAACUAAACGCAAAUAUUGUUGAAAAGGCACAUAUUUUGUCUCAGUAGCCAAUAAUAUGAUCAGUUUAA